AGUGAACGCUGGCGGUAGGCCUAACACAUGCAAGUCGAGCGGCAGCACAGUAAGAGCUUGCUCUUACGGGUGGCGAGUGGCGGACGGGUGAGGAAUACAUCGGAAUCUACUUUUUCGUGGGGGAUAACGUAGGGAAACUUACGCUAAUACCGCAUACGACCUACGGGUGAAAGCAGGGGAUCUUCGGACCUUGCGCGAUUGAAUGAGCCGAUGUCGGAUUAGCUAGUUGGCGGGGUAAAGGCCCACCAAGGCGACGAUCCGUAGCUGGUCUGAGAGGAUGAUCAGCCACACUGGAACGGAGACACGGUCCAGACUCCUACGGGAGGCAGCAGUGGGGAAUAUUGGACAAUGGGCGCAAGCCUGAUCCAGCCAUACCGCGUGGGUGAAGAAGGCCUUCGGGUUGUAAAGCCCUUUUGUUGGGAAAGAAAAGCAGCAGGUUAAUACCCCGCUGUUCUGACGGUACCCAAAGAAUAAGCACCGGCUAACUUCGUG
rnacentral:rRNA from 1 species